rnacentral:rRNA from 1 species
CUACGUAGGGGGCAAGCGUUAUCCGGAUUUACUGGGUGUAAAGGGAGCGUAGACGGUUUGGCAAGUCUGAUGUGAAAGCCCGGGGCUCAACCGCGGGACUGCAUUGGAAACUGUCAGACUUGAGUGCAGGAGAGGUAAGUGGAAUUCCUAGUGUAGCGGUGAAAUGCGUAGAUAUUAGGAGGAACACCGGUGGCGAAGGCGGCUUACUGGACUGUAACUGACGUUGAGGCUCGAAAGCGUGGGGAGCAAACAGGAUUAGAUCCCCUGGUAGUCCACGCCGUAAACGAUGAAUACUAGGUGUUGGGAGACAAUAGUUUCUCGGUGCCGCAGCAAACGCAAUAAGUAUUCCACCUGGGGAGUACGUUCGCAAGAAUGAAACUCAAAGGAAUUGACGGGG